rnacentral:sRNA from 1 species
AUUGAGAUGCGAGGUGUAUUUGUUUUUGUUUUUUUUUUCCUUUGUAUGACACUUACGGAGAGUACUUUAGUUCAAAAAAUGCUUGCCUUCUUCUCCUUGUAUAAUUUACAACAUGGAGUAAACAUCUUUUCUAUGCCUUAGUACAUUGUCUUGCUCCUUUCUAAGUUUGGAUCAGCUUCCAAUAUUUUAUCCUUUCAGCUUUCCAUGUCACAAAAUUCCUCCAAGAGUUCCUUUAAAGUGACUUUGUAUUCUAUAACGUCCCUUCCUCUGGGACAUCUUCAUCCUUUUUGUCCCCAUGACCUUCCUUGUUUAUGCUAAUACAUUUGCCUUCCCUGAGUUCCUCUAUGCCACCUAUCUCUCAAAUGGCAGCAGGGUCAACAUCCCCAUAGUCUGCUAUUCUUCGAUAACUCCAUUUAUGCUGUCUUUGAAGUUCACUUCUGGCAUUAUCACUUUUCAUUUCUUUGCUGCAUUUUUAUAUUUGUUGGCCAGUUCCCUCUUUUCGUGAUACAUUGUUGUAAAAUCUCAUGGGAGUUAGCCACCUGGAGACAGGGAGUCAACACAACUACACACUUUGCUGUCUGUGCAUAAAUUGAAGAGCAGAAGCUCAGUAACCAAUCACUGAUGGACUUUGAAAGGAGUGACAGUAAUUUGCCCUCAAUUAUGAUGCUUAUCUUUUAUUUACGUCGUGAUUUCUAGACUGAAGAGUUAGCAACAAAGUUUAUACCAUAUGUAACUACUCAUGAUCAAUAUACCAAGGUACUGAAAGUGAACCAUGUCACUGGGCUACUAGUGUUAUUUAACUGAAUCAUGCAAAGUGAGGGCUGCCUGUAUUCUUGCCUUUGUUUUCUAGAACUGAAGUACGGAGGGAGUCAAAUAAUGCAUCCAAUGUUAUUUACAGCUGGAAUUUGAAUCCAUGCAGUUGGGUGCAGAGUCUGAGCUCUUAAUCACCUUGACCAUUACAUUACCUCGCUUUAUAUUUCCUUUGGGAAAAUGUUUCCUAAAAAAUUGUAAUGCCCCUCUGUGCUGCUAUGUGGGAAUCGGAAGUCUCAGUGCCCAAUCAGACCUCCUUGUCCAGGAACAGACCCUUGGGGCUGACCCCUCCUUGGGACCCAAUGCCCUUCUUUCUGCACUAUCCAGGUACCGGGGAGACCAGGAUGCCACUAUGUCUAUACUGGACAUAUCCAUGAUGACUGGCUUUGCUCCAGACACAGAUGACCUCAAGCAGCUGGCCAACGGUGUUGACAGAUACAUCUCCAAGUAUGAGCUGGACAAAGCCUUCUCCGAUAGGAACACCCUCAUCAUCUACCUGGACAAGGUCUCACACUCUGAGGAUGACUGUCUAGCUUUCAAAGUUCACCAAUACUUUAAUGUAGAGCUUAUCCAGCCUGGUGCAGUCAAGGUCUAUGCCUAUUACAACCUGGCGGAAAGCUGUACCCGGUUUUACCAUCCGGAAAAGGAGGAUGGAAAGCUGGACAAGCUCUGCCGUGAUGAACUGUGCCGCUGUGCUGAGGAGAAUUGCUUCAUACAAAAGUUGGAUGACAAGAUCACCCUGGAAGAACGGCUGGACAAGGCCUGUGAGCCAGGAGUGGACUAUGUGUACAAGACCCGACUGGUCAAGGCCCAGCUGUCCAAUGACUUUGACGAGUACAUCAUGGCCAUUGAGCAGAUCAUCAAGUCAGGCUCGGAUGAGGUGCAGGUUGGGCAGCAGCGCACUUUCAUCAGCCCCAUCAAGUGUAGAGAAGCCCUGAAGCUGGAGGAGAGGAAACACUACCUCAUGUGGGGUCUCUCCUCCGAUUUCUGGGGAGAGAAACCCAACCUCAGCUACAUCAUCGGGAAGGACACUUGGGUGGAGCACUGGCCCGAGGAGGACGAAUGCCAAGACGAAGAGAACCAGAAACAAUGCCAGGACCUCGGCACCUUCACUGAGAACAUGAUUGUCUUUGGGUGCCCCAACUGACCACAGCCCCAUUCCCCCACUCCCAAUAAAGCUUCAGUUAU